rnacentral:tRNA from 1 species
GGCCUUAUAUUAAAAUUUUGGGUUGCAAAUCUAAAAAUGCUUUAUAAGCUAAGGCUU